UACGGGGGGAGCAAGCGUUGUUCGGAUUUACUGGGCGUAAAGGGCGCGUAGGCGGUCGUGACAAGUCACUUGUGAAAUCUCCGGGCUUAACUCGGAACGGUCAAGUGAUACUGUCGGACUAGAGUACAGAAGGGGGCAACUGGAAUUCUCGGUGUAGCGGUGAAAAUGCGUAGAUAUCGAGAGGAAACACCUGCGGCGAAGGCGGGUUUGCUGGGCUGAUACUGACGCUGAGGCGCGAAAGCCAGGGAGCGAACGGGAUAGAAAAC
rnacentral:rRNA from 1 species